GAUGAACGCUGGCGGCGUGCUUAACACAUGCAAGUCGAACGGUAAGGCCCUUCGGGGUACACGAGUGGCGAACGGGUGAGUAACACGUGGGUGAUCUGCCCUGCACUUCGGGAUAAGCCUGGGAAACUGGGUCUAAUACCGGAUAGGACCACUGCCUGCAUGGGUGGUGGUGGAAAGCUUUUGCGGUGUGGGAUGGGCCCGCGGCCUAUCAGCUUGUUGGUGGGGUGAUGGCCUACCAAGGCGACGACGGGUAGCCGGCCUGAGAGGGUGACCGGCCACACUGGGACUGAGAUACGGCCCAGACUCCUACGGGGGGCAGCAGUGGGGAAUAUUGCACAAUGGGCGCAAGCCUGAUGCAGCGACGCCGCGUGAGGGAUGACGGCCUUCGGGUUGUAAACCUCUUUCAGCACCGACGAAGCGCAAGUGACGGUAGGUGCAGAAGAAGGACCGGCCAACUACGUGCCAGCAGCCACCGUAA
rnacentral:rRNA from 1 species